ACAAACUUGGUCAUUUAGAGGAAGUAAAAGUCGUAACAAGGUUUCCGUAGGUGAACCUGCGGAAGGAUCAUUAAUGAAUGCAAGAGCGCUCUUCUUAGAGGCUCGACCCAUAUCAUUUCACCCUGUGCACAAACUACUUUACACCUUUUUAAACACAAAGUCAUCAGAAUGUAAUCAAUCUCGUAAUUGAGUAUGAAAGUAAAACAACUUUCGGCAACGGAUCUCUUGGUUCCCGCAUCGAUGAAGAACGCAGC
rnacentral:misc_RNA from 1 species